GAAAAGCACUCGGCUUUCCAGAUAGCACACGCUGACAGGGGCAGUGCCUAGGACAGUGCACAGGGUUCCCUGGGGCAAGUGGUGCCUGUGCUCUGUGCUGAUAGUAGCUGGCACGGGACACAGGUUCUCUCGACACCUGGGCCCAGUUGUUAGCAUAGGGCAUCGACUUCUUCGUGGAAUGUUGGCUGUGUACCUGGUGUUUGGCUUGAUGAACAAAGCCAGUGUUUCCUUGGGCUAUUUUUGAUUGUGCAGUAGGAAUUCUGUGGUGGCGGACAUGCCUACUCACUGGAGCAUGGGGUCUGUCUUGGUGCACACUUUUCCUUGAGGGAGCACAUCUAUGGUGAAUCCCCAGUUUCUCCUCUAGGAUUGGUCCAGCAGAGGUCUUGAGGUCCUGUGCUUCAGUGUUCUCCUGAGGCAUGAAUGAUCUGCUCAUGCCUGACCCUCGACUUUGGGUGGCGCCAGAUAAGGCCCGGACUUUUUGCAGUAAGUUCUCCUGCCCUUUGUCUUUGGGGGUCAAAAUUGAAACAAUGAAGUUUUUUAUUUUGUCCCCAAACUUCUUUUCAUGGGUAUUUGACCCAGAGGCUUGGACAGGCCUUGUCCCUGAACGCUGCACGUCCUGCCUGAGACUUCCACAGACCUUUUUAUUAUUUGGACCAAAUAUAUGGCUAGUCCUUGGUUCCUGAGUUUGGGAAAUCUUGGUGAGAUUCCUUUCUCUUGAGAUGAGAGGGUGUCUGUCAUGAGACUUUGACUGAAUUGAAGGGGACAGAGUCUUGAAACAGAAUUUGGAGGCCCUGGAAGCUAGGAUAUCUGCAGCAAGCAGAACCUCCGGAGCACAGUCUUGAAGGAAUGUUCCAGUGGCAUAGUCCUGCAGGACAACACCUGCAGGGGCCAGGCAGUGAGGUGUGCUCAGACCUGAGUCUUCUGGAUCCUGGGAAAUGGGUCUGAAACGGGAUGGAGUCUCACUGGUCUCCUGUGAUUCACUGUUGGUUGGAGACUUUGCCAACUCCCCAGCUUCCGUGGUGAGCCCCCAGGAAGAAGACUCCUCCUCCUCUGCCUCUUCCAGACGCCAGGCACCUUACUGUCUUUGGUAUGUCUCCACCCCCUGCUUGAGCAGUUUUUCAGGGUUUCUUCCGUCUUCUCCUUUCCUCGUCCCACUAGGGAAACACUUUGUGCAUCUCUUCUUGGGAGGCUCAUGUGUCUAUCAGAUCCAUGCCUGGAUCCCUCCAUGUCUGGAAUAUCUCUGGACCCUCUGAGUGGACACUCUGUGGAGGCUGGCUGUUGUCAUCUGCCCGUGACGAGGGGCAUGGACUGCUAUGAUUACCUUCUUCCUGACUUGUUACUGACAGUUUGUCCUGAGACGUCAUAAGGUCCAGAGAUAGUUGGACCUUGUGGGGCUGUUGGCCCUGUUGUAUGAAUCUCGUUAGUAACUGCUGUUCUAACUGCUCCUGAAACCUGGUCUGAAUGAAUUCCCCCGGGAGUUGGACAACAGACCCAUGGCCCUUGGACACCCAACUAUUUGAAGUGAGUGGAUUCCAAGCUUCGUGGGACUUUUUCACCAUGACUGGUAAUUCACUCCUACUUUCCUGCUGCUUCUUCAAAAUGUGGAGCUCUAGGUGUUGAACAGCAGGUGGAACAAUAAAUUGACGAUUUGAGGUCAUAGCACAAGAAGCCCCAUAAUCCCUAAUUAGAGGUGAACAUCGUGGUAGCUUUGGGAGAGAGGAUG
ensembl:lincRNA